rnacentral:rRNA from 1 species
UACGUAGGGUGCGAGCGUUGUCCGGAAUUAUUGGGCGUAAAGAGCUCGUAGGCGGUGUGUCGCGUCGGCCGUGAAAACCUGCAGCUUAACUGUAGGCUUGCGGUCGAUACGGGCAUCACUGGAGUUCGGCAGGGGAGACUGGAAUUCCUGGUGUAGCGGUGAAAUGCGCAGAUAUCAGGAGGAACACCGGUGGCGAAGGCGGGUCUCUGGGCCGAUACUGACGCUGAGGAGCGAAAGCGUGGGGAGCGAACAGG